AUUGAACGCUGGCGGCAUGCCUUACACAUGCAAGUCGAACGGCAGCACGGGAGCAAUCCUGGUGGCGAGUGGCGAACGGGUGAGUAAUAUAUCGGAACGUGCCCAGUCGUGGGGGAUAACGUAGCGAAAGCUACGCUAAUACCGCAUACGAUCUAUGGAUGAAAGCGGGGGAUCGCAAGACCUCGCGCGAUUGGAGCGGCCGAUAUCAGAUUAGGUAGUUGGUGAGGUAAAGGCUCACCAAGCCGACGAUCUGUAGCUGGUCUGAGAGGACGACCAGCCACACUGGGACUGAGACACGGCCCAGACUCCUACGGGAGGCAGCAGUGGGGAAUUUUGGACAAUGGGCGCAAGCCUGAUCCAGCAAUGCCGCGUGCAGGAUGAAGGCCUCGGUUGUAAC
rnacentral:rRNA from 1 species